AACACAUGGCAAGUCGAGCGGAUGAAGGGAGCUUGAUCCUGGAUUCAGCGGCGGACGGGUGAGUAAUGCCUAGGAAUCUGCCUGGUAGUGGGGGAUAACGUCCGGAAACGGGCGCUAAUACCGCAUACGUCCUGAGGGAGAAAGUGGGGGAUCUUCGGACCUCACGCUAUCAGAUGAGCCUAGGUCGGAUUAGCUAGUUGGUGGGGUAAAGGCCUACCAAGGCGACGAUCCGUAACUGGUCUGAGAGGAUGAUCAGUCACACUGGAACUGAGACACGGUCCAGACUCCUACGGGAGGCAGCAGUCCGGAAUAUUGGACAAUGGGCGAAAGCCUGAUCCAGCCAUGCCGCGUGUGUGAAGAAGGUCUUCGGAUUGUAAAGCACUUUAACUUGGGAGGAAGGGCAGUAAGUUAAUACCUUGCUGUUUUGACGUUACCAACAGAAUAAGCACCGGCUAACUUCGUGCCAGCAGCCGCGGUAAUACGAACCGUGCAAGCGUUAAUCGGAAUUACUGGGCGUAAACCGCGCGUAGGUGGUUCAGCAAGUUGGAUGUGAAAUCCCCGGGCUCAACCUGGGAACUGCAUCCAAAACUACUGAGCUAGAGUACGGUAGAGGGUGGUGGAAUUUCCUGUGUAGCGGUGAUUUGCGUAGAUAUAGGAAGGAACACCAGUGGCGAAGGCGACCACCUGGACUGAUACUGACACUGACGUGCGAAAGCGUGGGGAGCAAACAGGAUU
rnacentral:rRNA from 1 species